rnacentral:rRNA from 1 species
GACGAACGCUGGCGGCGUGCUUAACACAUGCAAGUCGAACGGAAAGGCCCUGCUUUUGUGGGGUGCUCGAGUGGCGAACGGGUGAGUAACACGUGAGUAUCCUGCCCUUGACUUUGGGAUAACUUCAGGAAACUGGGGCUAAUACCGGAUAGGAUCUCCUGCUGCAUGGUGUGGGUUGGAAAGUUUCGGCGGUUGGGGCUGGACUCGCGGCUUAUCAGCUUGUUGGUGGGGUAGUGGCUUACCAAGGCUUUGACGGGUAGCCGGCCUGAGAGGGUGACCGGCCACAUUGGGACUGAGAGACGGCCCAGACUCCUACGGGAGGCAGCAGUGGGGAAUAUUGCACAAUGGGCGGAAGCCUGAUGCAGCAACGCCGCGUGCGGGAUGACGGCCUUCGGGUUGUAAACCGCUUUCGCCUGUGACGAAGCGUGAGUGACGGUAAUGGGUAAAGAAGCACCGGCUAACUACGUG